AUUGAACGCUGGCGGCGUGCCUAAUACAUGCAAGUCGAACGAAGUGGCGCGCGGGGGAGUAAUAUAUAUUUAAUCUGCCCUACACAGGGGAACAACAGUUGGAAACGGCUGCUAAUACCUCAUAUUGUAGGAUGAGACUAUAUCGUCUCACCUAGUUGGUAAGGUAAUGGCUUACCAAGGCUAUGACGCGCAACUGGUCUGAGACGAUGAUCAGUAACAUUGGAACUGAGGCACGGUUGAGACAUCUACGAGAGGCAGCAGUAAGGAAUAUUGCGCAAUGGGGGUGUCCGUGAAGGAGCAACGCCGCGUGGAGGACGAUCAUUUUCGGGGCAUAAACUCAUUUUAAUAGGAACGCGGUACCUGAUGAAUAAGCACCGGCUAACUCCGUGCCAGCAGCCGCGGUAAUUC
rnacentral:rRNA from 1 species